ACUUUACACCCUCCUUUUAUCCACUUGGUCUGUUUGCCUCCAGGUGGGACUGCUUCAGAUUUAUGGGAAAGGAUUGAUCCCCAUUAACUACAAAGAGCACAUCAGAUGCAGAACACCUGCAGUGUGUAUAGCUGUUACUAACACCUGCUGUUUCAGAUACUUCUAGAAUAUUCCUUCACUUGUCUUGACAGGUCCUGAGAAGCAAAUUUUAUGCCUGGAACAUCUUCACUCCUGAGUAACUUCAAGACCAGACAUUUACAAAAAGUCAUUCCUUAGCAUUUCCAGUUACUUUUCAGUUCAGGAAGUUUCUCAAGGUUUCUUGUCAGGGCAGGCUGGUCUUUUAUGAUUUUCAGCCUGCAAUGCUGCUCCUUUCUAUUUCAUCUUGACUUAACGUCAUUAGUCUUCUUUCAUAGAAACCUGAGCAUUCUUUUCCUAAUUUAUCUAGAUGGUACCCUGACAGCAGCUCCCUUGAUCAAACUUUGCCAUUUAUGUCUCUCCCCCAGUUAAUCAUUCUCUGAAAUGUGAUUUAUAGUAAAAAAGAAUUAAAUCAAGUCUGACUUCCUUCAAAUUUCUUGACUUUCUGGGAUUCUGGAUGCUCACUCAGGCCACGCCCCUUGGAGACACUAUGCUUUCUCUCAUUUACUAAACAGGCUGUUAGGGCUAUUUUCCUAUACUGGAGGGCCAUAGCAGGCUUUGUCAUUGGUGAAGCUAAAUAAAGGCUUAAAGGAUGCAGAAGUACAGGUUCCCAGCUGUCCUCUUUCCUUCAGACCUUGAUUUUCUAUCACUUCAUGUGUAGGCAUCAGGUCUGUUUCUGAAUAAAAAUCUCCAGCUUGUGUAAUGCAAGAUGACCCAUCUCAUACAGGUCAAACCUGUUCUAUGCUGCCAGCAGAUUUCUGCAAGUUGAAUUCUUAGUCCCUAUGUGCAAGAUGUCUGUGGCCUGGUCUCCAAAAGUCUAAAAGACCAACUGUCACCAGUGUCUAUUUCUCUGACCAGUGCAAGUCUCUACUUUAAGAGUAAAGUUCAUCUAUGAAGGAGGUGAAACUUUUCAUCAUCUUGAGAUGGUAAAAUGAACUGCCUUGAGGGAAUAAAACAAUACCACAGUAAUUACCACCUUCCCCCUCAAUGAGAAGUACAUUUCUUUAUAACUUUGCUGGCAUAAACAUGGAUAUAAAAUGAAGCCCAGCCUUACUUAAACAAGAAGUGUUAUUGACCAGCUUCUCCCAGCUUUGGGAAAAGUAGCAAUUUAAAAUGACACACAGUAGAUGUGUAGUAGUAUUUGUUGGUGCAAU